rnacentral:rRNA from 1 species
AGUGAGGUCUUCGGUCCGGCGCGCGGAGUUCCUUCGGGAACACCGAUGUCGCUGGGAAGAUGUCCAAACUUGAAUAUUUAGAGGAAGUAAAAGUCGUAACAAGGUUGCUGUAGGUGAACCUGCAGCAGGAUCAUUA